ACUUAUUCUAUAUAACUACGAUGUACAAGAACACGUUUAACAGAACUCAUUUAUGUCUUGAGUGAUCCGAUUUUCCGGAUCACCACACUGUGGUUUUCUGAUUCUGUAUCACCACUCUCCGAAACUGAUGACGUAGCACGCAUUGAAUAACGUCUGUAUUUUAGCGCGUUUUAAGAGAGUUCAUUUCAAAAUAGCACUGUUAUGUAAUCAAACGUCAUACAGUUGAUUUCAAAUAGAAGGUAUUGUAAUUCAAACUUUUGAAUAGAUAAGAGUUUAUAAUAAUUUCAUCAUUAUAACAGUAACUUGACUAAAUAGCCGGAUCACGUCGAGUUGCCAGGUGCGGAUAAUCAGAUCAAAAGGGACGAUAAGUGUUGAGUUUGAUCUGAUGAUCCGCGCCUAGCAACUCGACGUGGUCCGACCUUUUGGAUCAAGUUACUGUUAUAAUAAUAUAAAAUUUAUUGUUUAUGCUAAAAAGAACAACAACAGGACAAAGUUUAAGGUCCUAUAAUUUAUAUUAUAUUAUCAUAACAUAAUUUUUUUUUUUUUAUUUCAAGAAUAAACUUCCUUUGUGUAAAAAAAAAUAUAUAUUAUUUCUAUUGAGCCGGGUUACCCACAGGAGAAGUGAGAUGAACCUUCUGCACUAAAGACUGGAAGCUAUAAAUAAAAAAAAAUUGUCAAUCGAAGGACACUACGCAUCAAUUUACUACUACAAUUUUCAACAUUUUUUUAUGAAUAUAUGGAAAAAUAAUGACAAUUCAAUUAAAUAUCAAUC
rnacentral:sRNA from 1 species